rnacentral:rRNA from 1 species
CAUGCGAUCCGAGCGCACGGACGAGAAGCUUGCUUCUCUGAUGUUAGCGGCGGACGGGUGAGUAACACGUGGAUAACCUACCUAUAAGACUGGGAUAACUUCGGGAAACCGGAGCUAAUACCGGAUAAUAUUUUGAACCGCAUGGUUCAAAAGUGAAAGACGGUCUUGCUGUCACUUAUAGAUGGAUCCGCGCUGCAUUAGCUAGUUGGUAAGGUAACGGCUUACCAAGGCAACGAUGCAUAGCCGACCUGAGAGGGUGAUCGGCCACACUGGAACUGAGACACGGUCCAGACUCCUACGGGAGGCAGCAGUAGGGAAUCUUCCGCAAUGGGCGAAAGCCUGACGGAGCAACGCCGCGUGAGUGAUGAAGGUCUUCGGAUCGUAAAACUCUGUUAUUAGGGAAGAACAUAUGUGUAAGUAACUGUGCACAUCUUGACGGUACCUAAUCAGAAAGCCACGGCUAACUACGUGCCAGCAGCCGCGGUAAUACGUAGGUGGCAAGCGUUAUCCGGAAUUAUUGGGCGUAAAGCGCGCGUAGGCGGUUUUUUAAGUCUGAUGUGAAAGCCCACGGCUCAACCGUGGAGGGUCAUUGGAAACUGGAAGGCUUGAGUGCAGAAGAGGAGGGUGGAAUUCCAUGUGUAGCGGGGAAAUACGCAGAGGUGUGGGGCAACCCCGGUGUGGAAGGCGAGUUUCUGGGCAAGAACUAACGCUAAGGGCCCAAAGCGUGGGGA